UCGUGGUUGUCAAGUACCUCUUCCAGUUUGGAUUUUUUACAUGGAAUGAUGGUCUUCCACCAUCUUCUCCUUUCUGGCCGCCUCGAAUUAUUGGGAUUGAGAAGAAAGAUGGAUAUGCUUAUGCUGAUCUGGUGCUUCUGCUGGCUCUGUUCAUACACCGGACGAUCCUCAAGCGCUAUGGUCUAUGGAAGGAUGCUGAAGACAUAGAUGCAGACUUGAAGGAGAUAGAAAAGGUUAUCAGUCGACCAAACUCUCCACUGCCGGAGGACGAUGCUGACGUUACCCCUUGGACCGAGUCCACAGCGUCCACCAGUCUGCAGGUGACCUCAAUAGAGGAGUCCGGACCGGAUGACCUUGACAGAGGGAAGAAGUCCAAGAGGUGGGUCACCGCCUUAA